rnacentral:rRNA from 1 species
GAUGAACGCUAGCGGCAGGCCUAACACAUGCAAGUCGAGGGGUAACAUAGAAAAGCUUGCUUUUCUGAUGACGACCGGCGCACGGGUGCGUAACGCGUAUACAACCUACCUUUUAGCGGGGAAUAGCCCAGGGAAACUUGGAUUAAUGCCUCAUAGUAUAUAGACUUCUCCUGAAGUUUAUAUUAAACAUUUAUGGCUAUUAGAUGGGUAUGCGUCCUAUUAGUUAGUUGGUAAGGUAACGGCUUACCAAGGCAGCGAUAGGUAGGGGUCCUGAGAGGGAGAUCCCCACACUGGUACUGAGACACGGACCAGACUCCUACGGGAGGCAGCAGUGAGGAAUAUUGGACAAUGGGCGAGAGCCUGAUCCAGCCAUGCCGCGUGCAGGAAGACUGCCCUAUGGGUUGUAAACUGCUUUUACAGAGGAAGAACCACCCCCACGUGUGGGGGUUUGACGGUACUCUGCGAAUAAGGAUCGGCUAACUCCGUG